UGCUUGUACGGUGUAAUCGCUUAAAUUAAGUAAUGUUAGACAUAGAAAUGCUAGCGCCUUUGCUUAUUAGCCUACCUUCCACAAAAUUGAGGCUGCAUGACUUUCCAAGGCCAGCGAUGCAAGUGCAUCCAGCCGUCUCCACUGAUCCGUUGUUGGAUACAAGUACCCAUGCAGAGUGGUAAGAGCUGCUUGAUUGGCUGGGCUGAACAUCGGCCUUAAAAAAAUACCAAUCCUUUUCCCUCCUCCUGGUGAAGAAGAACCCGGCCCACGUUACCACAGUGGAGGUACUGACCGGCCUCUGUACUCUUGUAAUUUUUCAUAGUGGAACCAUCCACUCCCAAGGAGAGAAUGAAGUAAUAAAAAAUGUUCCCAUAUGUAACUUUAUCAUGUCAUCCACCCAAUUAUUAAUCAUGGACGGAUGGGGUACGGUGAUACCAUCCGACCUACGAAUGGCCAUGUGUGUGUGUUCUCAAAUGUGAGCCAUGUUUUGUUUUUGUUUAUUUGUUAAGAUGUGUUAAUGUUGCGCAUUUUUUAUUAUUAGCUAGCCACCGCUCGGAGGUAAUUCGCUAGCGUUGACGGAAGUUGUGAAACGGAAACACAAACACAAUCGCGUUCGAAAGGGAACUGGGUCAAGUGGGCAAGACUAAAUAAGGCGAAUACAGGACAAAAGAAAUUGACAAAGUAACUUGGUAACACAGGCAUUCACCUUUAUAAAACCAGUCAUCACCUUCAUGAGUGUUGCAGUAUCAUUCAUAACAAUCUUCAUAACACAUUUAUUCAACGUCAUUCGAGACUUGUUUCCAGAAACUCUUCAGUCAAACAGUUGUCAGAGAAUUGUAAACUCCAAGAAGUAGAUGUGUUUUAGGAGGUGUGAAAUAGCUUCCCUAAUAACAGUGAACCAGGAAGAGACACAAUGCUUCUCAGUAAAAAGGGACCUGUGGUAAUCUGACCUCACUAGAAGCUCUGUACAGGCCCGUAUCAUGAUUUAUCAAAUAAACUUUGUUCUUUAAACUGCAUUUGUCAGUGAAAGUGUGUUGGAGAUAUGUUCUCUGGAAUGUUAAUCAUAAGAGAUUAAAUCUGCACUCACCACAAUGGUUGAAACUCAUAGAGGAACUAAACACAUCAAGUGAGACUGCCAGAUAGUUUUUCUUUUUAAAAAAUGGGUUACUUUGACUUAUGCAUCAGGGAUAGGUCAGGGAUGGGCCGGCCACAUUCAACCGAUUUGUAUUUCAAAAUCAAUUUGCCCGGCCCGAAAAAAGGGAAGCUAUUUCAAUAUAACUCGAUUAUAAUUUAUACAUACUGUAUAUCAAGUUUAAGAAGCUCAAGUGUAGCCUGGAGUCCUCUUUUCAUCCAAAAGAAUCAUGUAUUGUGGAAAAGAGAAGUAUGUACAUUCAUGUGCAUUUAGAGAUAACAAUGAUAGGUAGCAGCUGGCAAUGUGUAGCAGCUGGUAAUUUCUUUAGCUUAAAGGAGCAACACAAAUGAUUUGAAGUUGCAGAGCCAUUUUGGACUGCCCAGUACAUGUAUCUCUCCUCCCUAUGCUUUCUUUCUUUCUUUCUUUCUUUCUUUCUUUCUUUCUUUCUUUCUUUCUUUCUUUCUGCACAGAGCGUUCUCUAGGCACAGAGACUUUUCCGUGGCUGUUUUUCUGUAAAUGACUAGGGUAAAAGGUCAGUGUGUGGGCUGGAUGACUGCGCUAUUGCUUUAAAUCCCUCCAUCAGCAGGCCUUCUUCCAGGGGAAUUUCUGCUGCAGCUGCAGGCCCUAUGAUGACCCAUGAACCUAUAGCCUUCAUACCCAAAUUCUUCAAAUUCACAGAGCAGCAACAUUUCAACCUUACAUGCCUUGUACAUACCAACUACUUUCUCGGAGAACGGUCAGUGGAGAUCGCGUUUAAGAUUCUCUGCAUUUAAGCUACAAAGUGGUUGUUUGUCAUCUUCAGACCAGGCAUAAUGGUUAUACGGUUUUGUGAGUCACUCUCGUUCUUUUCAUUGCUGACCAUGCAGAAAGAGACGACGACUCAGUGCUGACCAGUCCAGACACAGGCCAUUUCAAGUGCUCAGACGAGAGACAAAGGUGCGCUUUUAUGAGAACAGCUUUUAAACUCACAGGUGUUCUGUUCUUGACUCCCACAUGCACGAGAAUGUCAGAUUCCAACUGAUCUCUGGGUAGGAGCUAGGGAGGUAGAGACAAGACAAAUACAGAUAAAAGUAGCACGUCCCUCUUCCUGUGAGAGCCAUUCUCUAGGCUAUUUAUGGCAGCAUCGCAACUCAUUGAACUGUUACACUUUCUACAUGUUUGACAAGAUUGGAAAACCUCACAAGGACACCUGUAUCAGCCCCAAGUCGUUAACUUUACAGGAUGUCAAGACGCAGCAUAGGAUUCUGCUAAACAGAGAGCAUAUAGCGUUUUUAUUAAACCAGGUCCAUUCUCAUAUUCUCAUUCAACAUUUAAUUUAUCACAGCUUCUUAUAACAUAUGAGAGCAGUUUAUUUCGUGUGUGAGUUAUCCCUUGACUAGAAAAUCUCAGUUUUUCAUAAAUAAGGCAAUCUCUCAAAGGCAACAUUCUUUUAUGAAAAUAUGGAGAGGUCUAGUUUCCAAAAGAGCUCUGGUGGCUAUGGAGGCUAUGGAGGCUAACCCAUCUUAAAGUAUACAUGUCCUGCAUACCAGCAUUUACCAGUGCUGUAUCCACAACAUGUGAUUGCAUAACAUCCCAGAUGCAGGUCAAACAACCCUGAUUUUCAAGAAGGGGGUCUUUUCUGUUUUGGGAAAUAGAUGUUUUCAGAGAAUGGUCUUAUCUUGGAGCUUCUCUUUUUCUGUUCCUCUUCUCAAACGUCUUUCUUUAGUUAGUAGGUGAAGAGCUGGAACUAAAUGUCAGUUACAGUAGUACUGUAAUUGAAUGUUCCUCUUCUCCAACCUCUAUUUUUAGACUCGGUGAAGGGUCUUAUGCAACUUAACUUUAAAGCGUUGCAGGAACGUUCACACGGUACUCAUUCAUUUUAGGAAGGGAUAUUGGAACCAGUUGAUCGAUUUGAAACAGACACCUAGGGCAUUGAAACAACAACAUGGAAAAGGUUUCUUUUUCGAGAGCUGACAUAUAUGUCAUGUAGCGGAUGCUUCUGAAAUACCCCAUCAUAUCUUCAUUUGCACCACCACUGAAAAACGUGAGGGAAAUGGCCAGUUCACAUGACACAACAGUCUAUUAGUGGCGUAAUGUAUACAUGGUGGAUGACCAUGAAGAGUAACUCCCUUGCAUUUGUCAAAUAACAUCUUUAUUUUUUAUCUUUAUUCAUCCACAUAUUAUGUGCUUGUAUUAGAUCAGCCUGCUAUUAAACUCUAUUAGGCCUACAACGAACAAUAGCAAGACUUGCAGUAUCUACAUUCAAAAGCAUACGUCAGUGCUUGCCCUCUUUUGCAACAGUCUAAAAACAGCCAUUUUACAACGUCUGCUGCUGUAGACUGUUAAAUGAGUGGUUAUUUAAUCCAAAUUAGAAUACCAGAAGACUCCAAAAACGAACAGAUUCAGCUUAAUCCUGCUCAGAGCGAAAAUCAGGUUGCUAAAGGAAACGGCCAGACGGAAUGGUUUAUGCCGCGAUAAUCUCCUGCAGGCAUCUUGAUUGUGUGUUGGCAAAACAUCAGUAGCGGCACAGCGACCGCUGGCCCACACGGCAAUUACACUGUGCUCUUAUCAGAAUGAAUAGCAGGCCUGUUGUCAGCCCGGGCUUAACAGCAGGUAACCAUGCACUCUCUCUGGGCUGUCCUGACACUAAUAUACACCUAUCUCUCUCUUUCUCGCUCUCUGUUUCGCUCUCUCUGUUUCUCUCUCUCUGUUUCUCUCUCUCUCUCUCUCUCUCUCUCUCUCUCUCUCUCUCGCACUCAGUCUGUCUGUUUCUGCCUCUCUCUCUCUCUCUCUCUCUCUCUCUCUCUCUCUCUCUCUCUCUCUCUCUCUCUCUCUCUCUCUCUCUCUCUCUCUCUCUCAGGUCAUGAAAGCACACUUAUUGCAGAAUACUCGCCUUGCACUCUGUCAUUCCUGUCACCGGCCACUCAUGACCUCUCUCAUACUUAUGGGGACUUUCACUCACAAAAGCUAUUUUGGGAUUUACAGUGCAAUGGAGAAGACUAUAGGAUAGCAGUUGGAGAAGUUUAUUUCAGUACACAAUCUUCUUAUCCUUUUAUUCAUUGCAUAUCUUUUUAUAUAGCUGGUGUCUCCGAUGAAAUUCGGAAAAACCAACAACACAAAAAAUAAAUGUAUACAACUAUCCUAAAUGAGAAGAAACAGUCGAGUAAAGAAAAGUGGGUCAAACGGUCCCCUCAGAAUGACCCCAACACAGCCGCAACAUCUUCCAGAUCAACCUCCCCCAGUACAUAAUUGUUCCUUUGACCUUUUGAGUCUUAAUGUCAUUUGUGGUAACCAUUCCAUGAGUUUGAUUAAACAAUGCUUAUCCUAACAUCCACAACAGAUGGGCCGGGAUAAUGCGCUUCAGUUCCACAGCACCCUAAUUUAAUCAAUAGCACCUGAGGGUUUGCAGGAGAUUCUUUGCAGACCAGUCCUGCAUGCAGCUCCGCACCGCUGUAUUGCAGAUAUUUUCCUCUGGUUAGAAAAUGACCAGAGGAAGUCCGGCCGACCUCACGUGCAAACCUCUUGUUGGCUAUUCGUUCAACCCUCACAGUGAGCUCUUAUAUCUUUGGGUGCCGGUAGAUAUAAUAAUUUUGCAGACUGAUGGAUCAAGGCCCAUCUGAUGUGUACACACAAGUAUAUGACAGGCUCUCCCUCUUCUGUAAUUAGGAAGUUGUCGAUGGAAGAAACUAAAGACAAAGUCUUCUUACGUACGGCAGCAGUCUAAAGAUAGGCCAUAAGAGGAGUCCUAGCAGGUAUUACAUCAUGACAGCUUUGACCUCGCAUAGUGGGGAAAGAUAAAUGAUACCUUCACCGGCCAUGUUUAAAGUGGGAUAGUCUUUCCUCAUGCAUUGGGGUCUGGCAGAAAAGGGCUUCCAUGGGGUUUAAUGCUCCCACAAUGAGUCCAAACAUGUUUGUUUAUUUUUAUAAUUCUAAAGACUUUUUUUUCUCUCUUCUCUCCCUUCGACUCUGGGAAUUUCCAUGGAAUUGUGUUUAGGAUUCCUUCCGUGGAGCUGUGUGUGUGCGUGCGUGCGUAUCCCUUGGAAUGAGAGUAAUACUCUCUCUCUCUCUCUCUCUCACUCUUUUCUCUUCUUCGUUCUGUCUUUGCUUUGAGCUGUUCUCCCUGGACGAGCUGCUGCUGGAAGGAUCCCAUCUGGACGCCACUUGUCUAGGCUGUUGGGUAAACAACGGGCAGGCGGGGGAGGAAAAAUGUGGCAAUUGAGUAUCACAAGAGUUGAACCAUUUGAUUUAUCUGUAAACAACCUCUUGACAAUGGAAUUUCCAUGCAUUUAGUCAACAUUUGGCAAAGUUAAUGGAGCAGAGUUAAUGGAGUAGACAUCAAGGCUAGUAUGGUUCCACUUUCUGAGUGACCUUAUUACCUUCAUAACAGUCAACGAAUGUCCUUGUCUGUGUCGUUAUCUACUGUCAUCACUUAAGUCAAAAAUGUGACAUUUGAAACUGGAAGUCUAUUCCUUUUCUUGUUCGUUCAUUUCCAAGGGGACUUUUAGAGUUUAAUGCUAACAUUUAAGGCUCCCGAGUGGCGCAGCGGUCUGAGGCACUGCAGCUCAGUGCUAGAGGCGUCACUACAGACCUUGGUUUGAUUCCAGGCUGUAUCACAACUGGCCGUGAUUGGGAGUCCCAUAGGGUGGUGCACAAUUGGCCCAGAGUCGUUUGGGUUUGGCCGGGGUAGGCCGUCAUUGUAAAUAAGAAUUUGUUCUUAACUGACUUGCCUAGUUAAAUAAAAUACAAAUAUUGUUGGAGUAUGUGCUCUUGCUAAAUAAAGGACUUUUACAAUGUUGCCAUUUAGCUUUCAUUUACCAUUCUACCAAUCACCUUCUUUGCCCUGAAUACAUCUUAGUGAGUUCAGGAGACGUCACUUCAUCAUCAGAGCUGAAAUGACC
rnacentral:lncRNA from 1 species